UGGGGAAUAUUGCACAAUGGGCGCAAGCCUGAUGCAGCCAUGCCGCGUGUAUGAAGAAGGCCUUCGGGUUGUAAAGUACUUUCAGCGGGGAGGAAGGGAGUAAAGUUAAUACCUUUGCUCAUUGACGUUACCCGCAGAAGAAGCACCGGCUAACUCCGUGCCAGCAGCCGCGGUAAUACGGAGGGUGCAAGCGUUAAUCGGAAUUACUGGGCGUAAAGCGCACGCAGGCGGUUUGUUAAGUCAGAUGUGAAAUCCUCGGGCUCGACCUGGGAACUGCAUCUGAUACUGGCAAGCUUGAGUCUCGUAGAGGGGGGUAGAAUUCCAGGUGUAGCGGUGAAAUGCGUAGAGAUCUGGAGGAAUACCGGUGGCGAAGGCGGCCCCCUGGACGAAGACUGACGCUCAGGUGCGAAAGCGUGGGGAGCAAACAGG
rnacentral:rRNA from 1 species